AUUUUAUUUAUAAUAACCUAGAAUUUUAUCCUUUUUUUUUCCCCCUUUUGCCACCAAUUAUAUAUAUUUUAUUAUUUUAUGAAAAGCAUGCCUGUUUUUCGUCCUUCUCAAUAGAAAUCCUUCUUUCUUCCUUCUUCUUUUUCCUCCAGCUCUCCUAUAGAUUUUUAUAUUUUUUUAAUCUUUUUGAAGAAGAUUUUGAAGGUUAAUUAUGGCCAUCAACAAGUUUCUUAUUUUCCUUUGUUGCAUAUCACUUUGAAUUCUUUUGAGUUUUCAAGCAAUUUAAGCCGGUUCUCUUGCCACAAAUUUGCCUGGUUUCACUGGGAAUUUUCCAUAUCCAAACACUACUCAGGACAUGUGAGUGUAGAUGAGAAGAAUCAUUUCUACUACUUGGUUGCUUCAGGAAGAAAUCCCUAGAAGUAUCCUGUUGUUCUUUGGCUAAACGGUGGCCCUGCUUGCUCCAGCUUUGAUGGCUUCGUUUAUGAACAUGCUGGUGUACAAAUUUUGAACACUCAGCUUGAGCAGGAAACGAUGAAAGUCACGAAAAUGUCGAGAUUUCGUAAAAAGAUCAGCAAGUUGAUGUCGAGAAGAAAUUGGAGAAGAUGAAUGACAUCGGCUUGAACCUUCUCACGAACUAAGUGUUAGUCGAUCUCAACGUGCUUAAACCUCUCAUGGAACACAGGAUUGGGUUCCUUGGUGUGGGAAAUGGCAUCACAGACAAAAAAUUUGAUGGCAAAGCUCUUGUUCCCUUUGCCCAUGGAGUGGGACUUAUCUCAGAUGAUGUAUUUGAGGCUCUAAGUGGACUGAAUAUUUACAACAUUGUCCAACCUUGCUUCCAAGAACCUCUGUCACAACAAGAUGGCAACCUGAAUUCAAGCUUACCGGCGAGCUUCCAGCAGUUAGGGCGACUGGGAAACCACUCGAGUGAGAAAAAGAAUUUUCGGCCGAGCUUGGUCUCUCCGGACUAGUGUAAAAAAUGGGAUUGUCACAUUGUGGCUCCACUUAUGGAAGUAGAAAAAUAUCGCCAUGUCUUGUGUGCUGUAAGUUAAUCGAACCUUUUUAUUUUAACCGUAAUGAUUCUUGAUAUAUAUAAAAGUUUAGUCAGUCUCUUAAUGCA